CUUUUAAAGGAUCCAAGUCUAAUCCG
rnacentral:tRNA from 1 species